rnacentral:tRNA from 1 species
GGGCCUGUGGCGGAAUUGGCAGACGCGCAGCCUUGAGGUGGCUGUGUCCGCAAGGACGUGGAGGUUCAACCCCUCUCGGGCCCACCA